rnacentral:rRNA from 1 species
AUUGAACGCUGGCGGCAGGCCUAACACAUGCAAGUCGAACGAGUGGCGGACGGGUGAGUAAUGUCUGGGAAACUGCCCGAUGGAGGGGGAUAACUACUGGAAACGGUAGCUAAUACCGCAUACCAUCGGAUGUGCCCAGAUGGGAUUAGCUAGUAGGUGGGGUAACGGAUCACCUAGGCGACGAUCCCUAGCUGGUCUGAGAGGAUGACAAGCCACACUGGAAGUGGGACAGGGUCCAGACUCAUACGGAAGGCAGCAGGGGGGAAGAUUGCACAAGGGGCGCAAGCCUGAUGGAGCCAUGCAGCGUGAAUGAAGAGGGCCUUCGGGUUGUAAAGUACUUUCAGCGAGGAGGCGUUACUCGCAGAAGAAGCACCGGCUAACUCCGUGCCAGCAGCCGCGGUAAUUC